rnacentral:rRNA from 1 species
UGAACGCUGGCGGCGUGCCUAACACAUGCAAGUCGAGCGGGAUUUUCCGGAUUGAAGCUUCGGUAGAUUGGAGGAUAGUGGCGGACGGGUGAGUAACGCGUGAGCAACCUGCCCUCUGUGAGGGGAACAACGCAUGGAAACGUGCGCUAAUACCGCAUAACGCAUACUGAUUGCAUGGUUGGUAUGUUAAAGGAGCAAUCCGCAUAGAGAUGGGCUCGCGUCUGAUUAGAUAGUUGGUGAGGUAACGGCUCACCAAGUCGACGAUCAGUAGCCGGACUGAGAGGUUGAACGGCCACAUUGGGACUGAGAUACGGCCCAGACUCCUACGGGAGGCAGCAGUCGGGAAUAUUGCGCAAUGGAGGAAACUCUGACGCAGUGACGCCGCGUAUAGGAAGAAGGUUUUCGGAUUGUAAACUAUUGUCUGCAGGGAAGAAAAUGACGGUACCUGACUAAGAAGCCCCGGCUAACUACGUG